CCCUUAGACGUUCUGGGCCGCACGCGCGCUACACUGACACAGGCAACGAGCUUUCCUUUACCGAAAGGUAUGGGUAAUCUUUUGAAACUGUGUCGUGCUGGGGAUAGAUCCUUGCAAUUUUUGAUCUUAAACGAGGAAUUCCUAGUAAGCGCGAGUCAUCAACUCGCGCUGAUUACGUCCCUGCCCUUUGUACACACCGCCCGUCGCUACUACAGAGUGCCCGUGUCCAAGAAACGGUCGGACCUGUGCGGCCUCUCCGGGCGACCGGAGGGCCGUUACGGGGAAGACCCUUUAUUUGACGCGGGUCGAUGAAGUAAAAGUCGUAACA
rnacentral:rRNA from 1 species